GGAUUAGGCAUGCAAGUCGAACGAGGGAGUGCCUCGAAAGGGGCGCAAACCGAGUGGCGUAAGGGUGAGUAAUGCAUUGAUAACCUGCCUUUGAGAUGGGAAUAACAACGUUCCAAGCAAUUGGGGCUACCGAAAGGGUUGCUAAUACCCAAUAAAACUAUUGCUGCUAUUGGUAGUAAUAGUCAAAUAAAUGGGGUCGAAAGAUUUCAUUUGCUCGAAGAGGGGUCAAUGUCCUAUCAGCUAGUUGGUAGAGUAAUAGCCUACCAAGGCAAAGACGGGUAGCCGGCCUGAGAGGGUGGUCGGCCACACUGGGACUGAGACACUGCCCAGACUCCUACGGGAGGCUGCAGUCGAGAAUCUUUCGCAAUGCCCGAAAGGGUGACGAAGCGACGCCGCGUGCGGGAAGAAGGCCUUCGGGUUGUAAACCGCUGUCGGGAGUUAAGAAAUGCAAGGAUGUUAAUAGCAUCUUUGUUUGACUAAGGCUCCGGAGGAAGCCACGGCUAACUCUGUGCCAGCAGCCGCGGUAAUACAGAGGCGGCAAGCGUUGUUCGGAAUUAUUGGGCGUAAAGAGCACGUAGGCGGCUGUGUAAGUCGGUUGUGAAAGCCUUCCGCUUAACGGAAGAACGGCAUCCGAUACUGCAUAGCUCGAGUGCGGGAGGGGAGAGUGGAACUUCUGGUGGAGCGGUGAAAUGCGUAGAUAUCAGAAGGAACACCGGCGGCGAAGGCGACUCUCUGGCCCGUAACUGACGCUGAGUGUGCGAAAGCUAGGGGAGCAAACGGGAUUAGAUACCCCGGUAGUCCUAGCCGUAAGCGAUGGGCACUAAGUAGAGGGGUUU
rnacentral:rRNA from 1 species